rnacentral:rRNA from 1 species
GAUGAACGCUAGCUACAGGCUUAACACAUGCAAGUCGCGGGGUAACGAGAGGGAAGCUUGCUUUCCUUGUCGACGACCGGCGCACGGGUGAGUAACGCGUAUCCAACCUGCCCAUUACCACGGGAUACCCCGUCGAAAGGCGGCCUAAUACCGUAUGCAGUCGUCAGAUGACAUCAGAGGACGACGAAAGGAUUGGCGGUAAUGGAUGGGGAUGCGUCUGAUUAGGUAGUUGGAGGGGUAACGGCCCACCAAGCCAUCGAUCAGUAGGGGUUCUGAGAGGAAGGUCCCCCACAUUGGAACUGAGACACGGUCCAAACUCCUACGGGAGGCAGCAGUGAGGAAUAUUGGUCAAUGGGCGCGAGCCUGAACCAGCCAAGUAGCGUGAGGGAUGACGGCCCUAUGGGUUGUAAACCUCUUUUAUGCGGGAAUAAAAUGUUUGACGUGUCAUACAUUGUAGGUACCGCAAGAAUAAGGACCGGCUAAUUCCGUGCCAGCAGCCGCGGUAAUCACG